rnacentral:misc_RNA from 1 species
GUGAAUCAUCGAAUCUUUGAACGCAAAUUGCACUCUCCGGUUUUCCGGGAGCGUAUGCCUGUUUGAGGGUCAGCCUAAAAAAAAUCGACAUUGUUGCUGUUAUUUAAUGGUGACUUUCGUCGGAGAUUGGGUUAUCUUAAACCUUUUUUUUUUUUUUGGUUUAAGCGACUUAAAAUUUUUCUUCACGGUUUCAUGAAAGGUUCUAAGGUUUUUAUUUCUUUUACGUUUAAGGUUUAUCGGUCUUUUUUUUGACGUGACCGU